GAUGAACGCUGGCGGCGUGCCUAAUACAUGCAAGUCGAGCGAACGGACGAGAAGCUUGCUUCUCUGAUGUUAGCGGCGGACGGGUGAGUAACACGUGGAUAGCCUACCUAUAAGACUGGGAUAACUUCGGGAAACCGGAGCUAAUACCGGAUGAUAUUUUGAACCGCAUGGUUCAAAAGUGAAAGACGGUCUUGCUGUCACUUAUAGAUGGAUCCGCGCUGCAUUAGCUAGUUGGUAAGGUAACGGCUUACCAAGGAAACGAUGCAUAGCCGACCUGAGAGGGUGAUCGGCCACACUGGAACUGAGACACGGUCCAGACUCCUACGGGAGGCAGCAGUAGGGAAUCUUCCGCAAUGGGCGAAAGCCUGACGGAGCAACGCCGCGUGAGUGAUGAAGGUCUUCGGAUCGUAAAACUCUGUUAUUAGGGAAGAACAUAUGUGUAAGUAACUGUGCACAUCUUGACGGUACCUAAUCAGAAAGCCACGGCUAACUACGUG
rnacentral:rRNA from 1 species